rnacentral:rRNA from 1 species
GGUCCGGGCGUUAUCCGGAUUUAUUGGGUUUAAAGGGAGCGUAGGCCGGAGAUUAAGCGUGUUGUGAAAUGUAGUGGCUCAACCUCUGCACUGCAGCGCGAACUGGUCUUCUUGAGUACGCACAACGUGGGCGGAAUUCGUGGUGUAGCGGUGAAAUGCUUAGAUAUCACGAGGAACCCCGAUUGCGAAGGCAGCUUGCUGCAGCGGCACUGACGCUGAUGCUCGAAAGCGCGGGUAUC